rnacentral:lncRNA from 1 species
UUUUGCAGGUGGGGAUGAAGGAGGGUGGUUUCAAUUAUGUUGGUAAACAACUUAAAGCUGAUGAGUUUUCCUUCCUGAUUAGUAGAAUCAGUGGUAAACUUAAUAGUUGGAAGAAGCGACACUUGCCACGGACAGGUAGGUUGGGUCUUCUUUUCUCUUCUCUAUACUAACUAUAUGGCCUUUUUUUUGGCUAUUGUUGACAAAAUUUAAAGGAUAUUGAAAUGUUUUUUUGGGCUUAUGAAUUGAUAGAAAAGGUAUGCAUCUUGUAUCUUGGUAGGAUCUUUGCAAUCCAAAAUAGGAUGGAUUGGGGUUGUUUGAUCUCAGAGGGAAAAGGAAGGCCUAUCUUGUCUAUACUACUGCAAAUGUGAUAUUGAAAUCUAAUACUUUAUGGGUCAGACUAGUUGUAUCAAAAUAUGGAUUUAAGGGGUCAUGGGAAGCUUGUCAUUGUCUAAGAAAAUCUUCUCCUAUUGAUACCGUUAACGUUCUCCUUCGACUAACUCAUGGAAACAUCGUAUCCCAAAAUCAGAGGAAAACCAUGCUGUUGAUAGUCAGAAUUCAAGUAGAGGCCCUAGAGAAAAAAACUUCGUGCAUAAUGGUUCAGCUAAACCCCAAUCUCCUUUGGGUCAACUCACUAUCCCAGCGUCAAACCCUAACUUCAGGUUCCCUUGGCUGAACAAAGCCAGCAGCAAUCAACUCCACUUGAACACCUCUUGGUUAUUGCCUUCUGGACUGAAGAGGUUGCUUUUAAAUUCAAAUGUUCACAGCCUUAAAUCCUUGCCAGUUCAUUUUUCAGAAUGGAUAGAUAGACUGCUGUAGACUGACAUUCCAAACUCCUCUAACAUUGAUUUAAUGCUUAAGCCUGCUUCUACACUAACAACACUCCCUACAUCUUGUCUUAUCCCUGUUCAACAGGUCUUCAGCACCAUCAUCUCAUCCAUAAAUAUUUCAACCCAACUGUCUGCAAAAACUCAAGACCCAAACAUGGUGAUUGAAGGUAGCAAAGCAAAUCCCAUCAACCGGCAUAUUAGAUCAAGAAGCCAAGCACCCCAGCAUCAAAAAGAAGUGCAAGACUGCAAGCAAAGAAAGUGAAGAUGCUUGGAUUAGAAGAAGUGUUAUUACGCCCA